rnacentral:lncRNA from 1 species
GGGGAGCCAGGAGAGCUGGGAGAGCCGGGGCUGCCGGGUGAGGUCGGCAUGCGGGGGCCCCAAGGACCACCUGGACUCCCCGGACCUCCUGGACGUGUCGGAGCUCCUGUAAGUGAAGGCACUUGUCUGGGCAGGGGUUCUACCCCUUCUCCAGGAAUCAAAAACCAGGUUCUAGCAAGUUCCUCCACCUGCAUCUAGACAGUAAUGCUGUUUUGCCUUACUGAUGCCAAUGAAGUGUUGGUAUCUCCUUUCUUAGACCAGAAAUUAUUAGAUGUUACAGUCCAUAAGAAUCACCCAGAGAACAAGUUUAAAUGCAUAUUCCUGGGACCCCUUUCUCACAUCAAGAAGCAGGGUAGAUCCCAGGAAUCUGCAUUUUUAACCAGCACCACAGGAUUUUUGACACUUGAUCUAAAGAAUUCAUUUUCCCCAGCCUGUCCUGUACUGUACUCUUGUAAGAAGGGUGGAGUCUACUGAAUUCUUAGCCCCUGGAACAGUGCCAGACUGUCCAGUAUGGUGUUCAGUAUGUCCAGUGAAUAAAGAGAUGAACAAACAGA